AACGUAGGUGGCAAGCGUUAUCCGGAUUCACUGGGUUUAAAGGGUGCGUAGGAGGGCAGGUAAGUCAGUGGUGAAAUCUCCGAGCUUAACUUGGAAACUGCCGUUGAUACUAUCUGCCUUGAAUAUUGUGGAGGUGAGCGGAAUAUGUCAUGUAGCGGUGAAAUGCUUAGAUAUGACAUAGAACACCAAUUGCGAAGGCAGCUCGCUACACAUAUAUUGACUCUGAGGCACGAAAGCGUGGGGAUCAAACAGG
rnacentral:rRNA from 1 species